rnacentral:ncRNA from 3 species
CGGCGGGAGCCCCGGGGAG